GAUCUGAGACAAAACUGGCUGUGGCAUCUGUCAACACAUUGAUUUCCAGGGUUGAUACAGAUGGUCUGAGCUGAUUCUGGUCUCUCUUACCACAUCAUUUGUGUCCCUUCCAGACCUACAUGCUCAUUCAAAGUGAAUGACCUUCUGAAAGAGGAUCAGUCAUGAAGGGUAUUUAAAAGAUAUAUUCCCUUUCUGUAACUUCUAGACAUGUUCAUAAUUU
rnacentral:sRNA from 1 species